rnacentral:rRNA from 2 species
CGGGUGGCUGCAGGCGCGAAACCUCCUCAAUGCACUCACGUGCGAAGGGGUUACCUCGAGUGCCAUCUGAAGAAGGUGGCUUUUCCUUGGUCUAAAUAGCCUUGGGAAUAAGAGGGGGGCAAGACUGGUGUCAGCCGCCGCGGUAACACCAGCCCCUCGAGUGGUGGGGAUGAUUAUUUGGCCUAAAGCGUCCGUAGCCGGCCGAGUAAGUUUCCCGUUAAAUCCAGCGUCUCAAGCGUUGGACUGCGGGAAAUACUGCCCGGCUAGAGAGUGGGAGAGGUAGGCGGUAUUCUGGGGGUAGGGGCGAAAUCCUUUGAUCCCCGGAGGACCACCAGUGGCGAAGGCUGCUUACUAGAACACGUCUGACGGUCAGGGACGAAAGCUGGGGUAGCGAACCGGAUUAGAUACCCCUGUAGUC